UACAGAGGGGGCAAGCGUUAUUCGGAAUUAUUGGGCGUAAAGGGCGCGUAGGCGGCUUUGCAAGUGGCGGGUGAAAUCCCUCGGCUUAACCGAGGAACUGCCUGUCAAACUGCAUGGCUUGAGACCGGGAGAGGUGAGUGGAAUUCCCAGUGUAGUGGUGAAAUACGUAGAGAUUGGGAAGAACACCAGUGGCGAAGGCGGCUAUCUGGACGGUUUCUGACACUAAGACUCGAAAGCGUGGGGAGCAAACAGG
rnacentral:rRNA from 1 species